rnacentral:rRNA from 1 species
GAUGAACGCUGGCGGCGUGCCUAAUACAUGCAAGUCGAGCGAACGGACGAGAAGCUUGCUCCUCUGAUGUUAGCGGCGGACGGGUGAGUAACACGUGGAUAACCUACCUAUAAGACUGGGAUAACUUCGGGAAACCGGAGCUAAUACCGGAUAAUAUUUUGAACCGCAUGGUUCAAAAGUGAAAGACGGUCUUGCUGUCACUUAUAGAUGGAUCCGCGCUGCAUUAGCUAGUUGGUAAGGUAACGGCUUACCAAGGCAACGAUGCAUAGCCGACCUGAGAGGGUGAUCGGCCACACUGGAACUGAGACACGGUCCAGACUCCUACGGGAGGCAGCAGUAGGGAAUCUUCCGCAAUGGGCGAAAGCCUGACGGAGCAACGCCGCGUGAGUGAUGAAGGUCUUCGGAUCGUAAAACUCUGUUAGUAGGGAAGAACAUAUGUGUAAGUAACUGUGCACAUCUUGACGGUACCUAAUCAGAAAGCCACGGCUAACUACGUG